GACAGGGGUGCAAGCGUUGCUCGGAAUCACUGGGCGUAAAGCGCGCGUAGGCGGUCUCGUAAGUCGGGUGUGAAAGCCCUCAGCCUAACUGAGGAACUGCGCCCGAUACUGCGAGGCUAGAGGAUGGGAGGGGAGAGUGGAAUUCCUGGUGGAGCGGUGAAAUGCGUAGAUAUCAGGAGGAACACCAGUGGCGAAGGCGACUCCCUGGUCCAUUCCUGACGCUGGAGGUGACGAAAGCCUAGGGGAGCAAACGGG
rnacentral:rRNA from 1 species